AUUGCUUCUUUGCCUUUUGGCUAAGAUCAAGUUUAGAAAUAGGAUUAGACUAUGUAUUAUUUUGAAACUUGCUUUUUUCAGUUCUAGGUCUAAUUACAGAGGAAAAAACUGUUUUUGCAACCUUCCCUCUAAAUGGCUUCUUAGGUUAAAUUUAC
rnacentral:snRNA from 1 species